ACCGGGAGAUAGCUGGUUCUCCCCGAAAGCUAUUUAGGUAGCGCCUCGUGAAUUCAUCUCCGGGGGUAGAGCACUGUUUCGGCUAGGGGGCCAUCCCGGCUUACCAACCCGAUGCAAACUGCGAAUACCGGAGAAUGUUAUCACGGGAGACACACGGCGGGUGCUAACGUCCGUCGUGAAGAGGGAAACAACCCAGACCGCCAGCUAAGGUCCCAAAGUCAUGGUUAAGUGGGAAACGAUGUGGGAAGGCCCAGACAGCCAGGAUGUUGGCUUAGAAGCAGCCAUCAUUUAAAGAAAGCGUAAUAGCUCACUGGUCGAGUCGGCCUGCGCGGAAGAUGUAACGGGGCUAAACCAUGCACCGAAGCUGCGGCAGCGACACUGUGUGUUGUUGGGUAGGGGAGCGUUCUGUAAGCCUGUGAAGGUGUGUCGUGAGGCAUGCUGGAGGUAUCAGAAGUGCGAAUGCUGACAUAAGUAACGAUAAAGCGGGUGAAAAGCCCGCUCGCCGGAAGACCAAGGGUUCCUGUCCAACGUUAAUCGGGGCAGGGUGAGUCGACCCCUAAGGCGAGGCCGAAAGGCGUAGUCGAUGGGAAACGGGUUAAUAUUCCCGUACUUGGUGUUACUGCGAAGGGGGGACGGAGAAGGCUAUGUUGGCCGGGCGACGGUUGUCCCGGUUUAAGCGUGUAGGUGUGUGUUCCAGGUAAAUCCGGUUCACUUUAACACUGAGGCGUGACGACGAGGCACUACGGUGCUGAAGCAACAAAUGCCCUGCUUCCAGGAAAA
rnacentral:rRNA from 1 species